rnacentral:tRNA from 1 species
ACCGGGGAAAGAUGGUCAGAGGGCCUGUUGGCUCUUGCCAGGGGCAUGGGUUCGAAUCCCAUCGGCUGUUCCA